GUGGAUUAGAUACCCUGGUAGUCCACGCCUUAAACUAUGGAUACUUGGUGUUGGAGGUAUUGACCCCUUCAGUGCCGAAGCUAACGCGUUAAGUAUCCCGCCUGGGAAGUACGGUCGCAAGAUUAAAACUCAAAGAAAUUGACGGGGGCCCGCACAAGCGGUGGAGCAUGUGGUUCAAUUCGAUGCAACGCGAAGAACCUUACCUAGAUUUGACAUGUAUUGGAAGACUCGUAGAAAUACGGUCGCUCGCAAGAGUCGAUACACAGGUGCUGCACGGCUGUCGACAGCU
rnacentral:rRNA from 1 species